GGUGACUGUGCUGAGCAAGGCGCAGAAGGAUGCCAGCUGCAGAGAGAGCCCUGCCCAUGUUGCUAUGGUGCAGGAUCUCCAAGCCGCUCUUUCCUACACACUGAGCCCACCCCGGGGGGGGCGGCUGAGUGAUGGGACAAGAGACAUCCUCCACCUACUGGCUAGGCAGCACACUAAGACUGCAGUCAACAUCCUCCUGAAGAUGCCCUGGCCUUACAAACACCACAUCAAGGCCAUCUGGAGGUUCCUGGGUGCAGACCCCAUGCUAACAAGAGAGGUACUCCACAUCCUGCUGUAUGACAGCCCGGAGAAGGGCUGGGCUAACCCAGGACAGACCCAGGACAGGAACUGCCCCCAGCCAGCCCGGCUGCCCCCGGCAGUAAGUUCCCAUCACUGGCAUUCAGCCCCCUUUCCUGGCUCCAUUCUGCACACAGCCACGGUCUUCUGA
rnacentral:lncRNA from 1 species